CAAAGAAUAGUUUAAUAAAAAUAAUAAUUUUGGAGAUUAUUGAUGGAGAAUUUUCUUUUUCUUUGA
rnacentral:tRNA from 1 species